rnacentral:lncRNA from 1 species
AUGGUCCUUGUAGAUGAGGUAACUGAUGAAAAUGAUACUUAUACAGAAAUUAUCACUCCAGUGACGAACAAUCAGGAUGAAGAAGAAGAUUGCAUAGGAUGCUGCUUCCGGAUCCAAAGGAACAAUCGACAGACGUCACAAAGAUCCACCUCUGGCUGCAUCAGAAAAUUAUGCUCCUGGCGCCACCAGCGAGUGCACCCCGCUAAUGGGUCGGGGACAGAAGAAACCCCGGGCUCCCAUGAAAGGCUGCCCAGCACCGCAGGAGGAAUAGAGGCUCCAAGUGGCUGCACAGUAAGUGCCUUGUCUUAUCUGAGAUAAAAGCAUAACUUCAUUUCUCAAUCCUUUCUCUCUCUCUCUCUCUCUCUCUCUCUCUCUGUCUCUCUCUCUCUCUGUCUCCCUCUCUCUCUCUGGUUUUGGUUUUGGUUUUGGUUUUUAAUGGCUGCACCUGCUGCACAUGGAGUUUCCCAGGCUAGGGGUCUAAUCAGAACUACAGCUGCCGGCAUAUACCACAGCCACAGCAAGUCACGAUGUGAGCCGAGUCGGUGACCUACAGCACAGCGCAUGGCAACACCAGAUCCUUAACCCACUGAGCGAGUCCAGGGAUCAAACCUGCAGCCUCAUGCUUUCUAGUCAGUUUUGGUUCCGCCGUGCCACAACGGGAACUCCAAUUUCCUCCUUUUGUCUGUCAGUUUCAACUAUGCAAGUCUACACUGUUCAAAUCAGUGGAGACCUACAUUUUUCCUGGGUUGGACGAGUGUUGACGGAAUGUCUCUCCCAAUGCAUGACUGAUUGAAAAAUUGACAGCAGCCUCUAGAAACUGGAAGUGCGGCUAGAAACUGGAGUGCGGCUGAGAGCAAUGUUACCAGCAGAGAGAAUUUGGUGGGUUUUGGUCAAAGUAACACAUAAGAAUUCCUACAGGAAGAUUUGAAGCCUUUGUCCAGGAUGACCUCUGUGUUUUCUUUGGGACCGUGGACUCGAGGAGUGUUUCCCUUUUGGGUUUGCUGGGCAGAAAGACCAUGAAAAUUCUCAUGUCCAUAGAAGCUUUAGAUUCUCACACUGUUUUCUUGCACUAGAUGCCGGCCGAUGACGCAACUAAUAAUAAUGGCAUGGCUUUGGAGCGCCCCACUCCAGUGACAAACAAUCGGGGUGAAGAAGAGGUGGGUCUUCCUUGCGGGCAUUGGUUGGAGAGCAGCCAGAUCCUGGGUUCCUUUUGGAAAGGGGGUAGUCUGGGAUGUGGAGCAGGCAGCUCUUUCCCAGUCAUAGUGAUGCCCUGGUGGCACCUGCCCUGGACACAAGUCUCUUGUUGAUUCCUUGGGUU